rnacentral:lncRNA from 1 species
UUCUGUGAAUGGUGUGUGUGUGUACGUGUGGAUUUGAGGCAGGGGGUCGGAGCGGCGGGGGCCGGCGGCAGCGAGUGGGUGGAGGGGAAAUUAGGGUUUGGGGAUGGGAAGAAAGGGGAAGAAGAUGGUCUAGGUGGAUGGGAAUUUUGUUUUUAUUUUUUUCUAUUUUUUUUAUAUUUUUCACAUGUCAAAAAUAAAUCUAAGUGUCCUUUCCAGCACCACUGUGUCAUUUUCGGUUGCUAUGUGUCAAUUUUCGACGUCCACAUAAGAAAUUGACCAAUCACCG